rnacentral:rRNA from 1 species
UACGUAGGGGGCAAGCGUUGUCCGGAAUUAUUGGGCGUAAAGAGCUCGUAGGCGGUUUGUCGCGUCUGCUGUGAAAACUGGGGGCUCAACCCCCAGCCUGCAGUGGGUACGGGCAGACUAGAGUGCGGUAGGGGAGAUUGGAAUUCCUGGUGUAGCGGUGGAAUGCGCAGAUAUCAGGAGGAACACCGAUGGCGAAGGCAGGUCUCUGGGCCACUACUGACGCUGAGAAGCGAAAGCAUGGGGAGCGAACAGG